GACCUAAUAGCGAAGUUGGUAUCGCAUCCAUUGUUGUUGAAAAAAAGAUCAUAAGCUGUUUGUGGUACGUCGAGGCCCCUCGUUCGACUCGAGGUUAGGUUG